UGCCUGCUUUGGCAGCAAUAUGCUAAAAUUGGAGCCAUGCAGAAAGAUGAGAAUGGUCUCUGGGCAAGAAUGGCACCCAAACCUGUGAAGUGUUCCAUAUUUAA
rfam:Dipodomys ordii contig_10931, whole genome shotgun sequence.